UACGUCGGGUGCGAGCGUUGUUCGGAAUUACUGGGCGUAAAGGGCGCGUAGGCGGGCCUUUAAGUCGAUUGUGAAAGCCCCGGGCUUAACCUGGGAACAGCAGUCGAAACUGCAGGUCUUGGAUGCGUGAGAGGAUGGCGGAAUUCCCGGUGUAGAAGUGAAAUUCGUAGAUAUCGGGAAGAACACCUGAGGCGAAGGCGGCUGUCUGGCGGUGCAUCGACGCUGAGGCGCGAAAGCGUGGGGAGCAAACAGG
rnacentral:rRNA from 1 species